UGGGGAAUAUUGGACAAUGGGCGAAAGCCUGAUCCAGCCAUGCCGCGUGUGUGAAGAAGGUCUUCGGAUUGUAAAGCACUUUAAGUUGGGAGGAAGGGCAUUAACCUAAUACGUUAGUGUUUUGACGUUACCGACAGAAUAAGCACCGGCUAACUCUGUGCCAGCAGCCGCGGUAAUACAGAGGGUGCAAGCGUUAAUCGGAAUUACUGGGCGUAAAGCGCGCGUAGGUGGUUUGUUAAGUUGGAUGUGAAAUCCCCGGGCUCAACCUGGGAACUGCAUUCAAAACUGACUGACUAGAGUAUGGUAGAGGGUGGUGGAAUUUCCUGUGUAGCGGUGAAAUGCGUAGAUAUAGGAAGGAACACCAGUGGCGAUGGCGACCACCUGGACUAAUACUGACACUGAGGUGCGAAAGCGUGGGGAGCAAACA
rnacentral:rRNA from 1 species